rnacentral:rRNA from 1 species
UGGGGAAUUUUGGACAAUGGGGGCAACCCUGAUCCAGCAAUGCCGCGUGUGUGAAGAAGGCCUUCGGGUUGUAAAGCACUUUUGUCCGGAAAGAAAACUUCGGGGCUAAUACCCCUGGAGGAUGACGGUACCGGAAGAAUAAGCACCGGCUAACUACGUGCCAGCAGCCGCGGUAAUACGUAGGGUGCGAGCGUUAAUCGGAAUUACUGGGCGUAAAGCGUGCGCAGGCGGUGCUGUAAGACCGAUGUGAAAUCCCCGGGCUUAACCUGGGAACUGCAUUGGUGACUGCAGCGCUGGAGUAUGGCAGAGGGGGGUGGAAUUCCACGUGUAGCAGUGAAAUGCGUAGAGAUGUGGAGGAACACCGAUGGCGAAGGCAGCCCCCUGGGCCAAUACUGACGCUCAUGCACGAAAGCGGGGGGAGCAAACAGG